UACGUAGGGCGCAAGCGUUAUCCGGAAUUAUUGGGCGUAAAGAGCUCGUAGGCGGUUUGUCGCGUCUGCCGUGAAAGUCCGGGGCUCAACUCCGGAUCUGCGGUGGGUACGGGCAGACUAGAGUGCGGUAGGGGAGAUUGGAAUUCCUGGUGUAGCGGUGGAAUGCGCAGAUAUCAGGAGGAACACCAAUGGCGAAGGCAGCUCGCUGGGACGUCACUGACGCUGAGACGCGAAAGCGUGGGGAGCAAACAGG
rnacentral:rRNA from 1 species